CAACCUUUGCGUGGGAAGUGGUGUACGCACAUUUUCAGCCCCGUUUUGUGCGUACGCCACGUUUAUAAAUGAGACCCUUGGAUGGUGGAGGGAUCAU